CCUACGGGAGGCAGCAGUGAGGAAUAUUGGUCAAUGGACGAGAGUCUGAACCAGCCAAGUAGCGUGAAGGAUGACUGCUCUAUGGUUUGUAAACUUCUUUUAUAUGGGAAUAAAAUGUUCCACGUGUGGGAUUUUGUACGUACCAUAUGAAUAAGGCUCGGCUAACUCUGUGCCAGCAGCCGCGGUAAUACGGAGGAUCUGAGCGUUAUCCGGAUUUAUUGGGUUUAAAGGGAGCGUAGGUGGAUUGUUAAGUCAGUUGUGAAAGUUUGCGGCUCAACCGUAAAAUUGCAGUUGAAACUGGCAGUCUUGAGUACAGUAGAGGUGGGCGGAAUUCGUGGUGUAGCGGUGAAAUGCUUAGAGAUCACGAAGAACUCCGAUUGCGAAGGCAGUUCACUGGACUGCAACUGACACUGAGGCUCGAAAGUGUGGGUAUCAAACAGGAUUAGAUACCCGAGUAGUC
rnacentral:rRNA from 1 species